CGCAUGCCUCCUGGCUCACACAUAAUUAUCUUGAAUGGUGACCUAUUUCUGGGAGGGCCAUCCUCACAGUAUCACUGACUCACCCCUUAUUCACAUUAAGUCUUGGUAGACAGUGCGUACCUGCGAACAAACAGGGCAUGCAAAUCAAGGCAUUUCAAAGAGGACAGUCAUGACACGUGCUAAAAUCUUCCUGUGAAAACAUGCAGUGUGCAGAAAACUAUA